AUGAAGACGGGGAUCAAAGUCAUGGUAGCUGUGGGUGAAGUUGCUGUAGCAGCAGCUCUCAGUCAUGAAGUGUUAAAGUCACAGCGCUAUAAACACUCCCAGAGCACUGAAGCAUGUGCUGCCAAUGCAAAGUGUCCUCUGAGUAUGGAGACGCCUUUACCACAUUCCCCCAAUCUUACUAGCAGCAGGGUUUUUGUACGGCCACUAAACCUGUUUGUAUCACUGUGGUGGACUUUCGGUGGAGGAACUAAACUGUCUGUGGGCCGCCUCACCCAGCCCAGUGUGACGGUGUUGCCCCCCUCCAGUGUAGAGCUGCAGCAGGAGAAGGUCACACUCGUGUGUGUGGCCUACAAGGGCUUCCCCUCGGACUGGAGGCUGAGCUGGAAGGUUGAUGGGAGCAGCUGGAGCUCGGGGGAGAGCCACAGCUCCGCAGUUCUGCAGGCGGACGGCCUCUACAGCUGGAGCAGCACGCUGAGCCUCCACCCGGAGCAGUGGAGGAACAAGGUGGUGACCUGUGAGGCCUCCAAGGACAACCAACCACCUGUGGUGAGCACAGUGAACACAGAGCAGUGCUGAGAGCUGUGAGCUCACACACACGUUACUCAGCUCACCUUCUACUGCUUCACUGUGUGUUCCAUGUGACCUUUACUGCUCAAAUGUCCCACUUUCAUCAUUUCAUCUGUUAUUGACAUGUGAGCUCACACACUCCUCACUUUAACUCAGAUCUUCUUCUCAUCACCUAAUUAUGUGUUAAGUGUGUGUAUCACUGCAAUGUCCUGCUUUGAAUUAUUAAUAAAAGCCUUUGAAUCAGUAAA